rnacentral:rRNA from 1 species
AGCGGCGGACGGGUGAGUAACGCGUGGGUAACCUGCCUCAUACAGGGGGAUAACAGUUGGAAACGGCUGCUAAUACCGCAUAAGCGCACAGUACCGCAUGGUACGGUGUGAAAAACUCCGGUGGUAUGAGAUGGAUCCGCGUCUGAUUAGGUAGUUGGUGGGGUAACGGCCUACCAAGCCGACGAUCAGUAGCCGACCUGAGAGGGUGACCGGCCACAUUGGGACUGAGACACGGCCCAA